GGAGAAGUGUCUGAGUGGACUAAAGAGCUUGAUUGCUAAUCAGGUGUAUUAAAAGAUACCGAGGGUUCGAAUCCCUUCUUCUCCU
rnacentral:tRNA from 1 species